rnacentral:rRNA from 1 species
CGGGUGAGUAACGCGUGAGGAACCUGCCUCAAAGAGGGGGACAACAGUUGGAAACGACUGCUAAUACCGCAUAAGCCCACGGCUCGGCAUCGAGCAGAGGGAAAAGGAGCAAUCCGCUUUGAGAUGGCCUCGCGUCCGAUUAGCUAGUUGGUGAGGUAACGGCCCACCAAGGCAACGAUCGGUAGCCGGACUGAGAGGUUGAACGGCCACAUUGGGACUGAGACACGGCCCAG